rnacentral:rRNA from 1 species
GAUCAUGGCUCAGGAUGAACGCUAGCGGCAGGCCUAACACAUACAAGUCGAGGGGCAUCACGAGGUAGCAAUACUUUGGUGGCGACCGGCGCACGGGUGCGUAAUGCGUAUGUAACCUACCUAUAACAGGGGCAUAACACUGAGAAAUUGGUACUAAUUCCCCAUAAUAUUCGGAGAGGCAUCUCUCCGGGUUGAAAACUCCGGUGGUUAUAGAUGGACAUGCGUUGUAUUAGCUAGUUGG